GACGAACGCUGGCGGCGUGCUUAACACAUGCAAGUCGAACGGAAAGGCCCUGCUUUUGUGGGGUGCUCGAGUGGCGAACGGGUGAGUAACACGUGAGUAACCUGCCCUUGACUUUGGGAUAACUUCAGGAAACUGGGGCUAAUACCGGAUAGGAGCUCCUGCUGCAUGGUGGGGGUUGGAAAGUUUCGGCGGUUGGGGAUGGACUCGCGGCUUAUCAGCUUGUUGGUGGGGUAGGGGCUUACCAAGGCUUUGACGGGUAGCUGGCCUGAGAGGGUGACCGGCCACAUUGGGACUGAGAUACGGCCCAGACUCCUACGGGAGGCAGCAGUGGGGAAUAUUGCACAAUGGGCGGAAGCCUGAUGCAGCAACGCCGCGUGCGGGAUGACGGCCUUCGGGUUGUAAACCGCUUUCGCCUGUGACGAAGCGUGAGUGACGGUAAUGGGUAAAGAAGCACCGGCUAACUACGUG
rnacentral:rRNA from 1 species